CGGAGAGGGAGCCUGAGAAACGGCUACCACUUCUAAGGAAGGCAGCAGGCGCGCAAAUUACCCAUUCUCAGAACGAGGAGGUAGUGACGAAAAAUACCAAGGUGAGGCUCAUUGAGUUUCGCCAUUGGAAUGAGAACAAUCUAAAUCCUUUAACGAGGAUCUAGUGGAGGGCAAGUCUGGUGCCAGCAGCCGCGGUAAUUCCAGCUCCGCAAGUGUAUUCCUAUACUGUUGCGGUUAAAAAGCUCGUAGUUGGAUCUGAGUGUUUAGCGCUUGGUGCAGUUCUGCUGUUACUGAGUGCGGCACAUAAUCGCCAAUUGGUUGCCAUCGUUGCCUUAACUGGUGAUGGUGGUUGACUGUUGGCAUGUUUACUUUGAACAAAUCAGAGUGCUCAAUACGGGCGUUUCGCUUGUAUGGUCGUGCAUGGAAUAAUAGAAUAGGACCUUGGUUCUAUUUUGUUGGUUUUCGGAAUCGAGGUAAUGAUUAAGAGGGACAGACGGGGGCAUUCGUACUGCAACGUGAGAGGUGAAAUUCUUGGAUCGUUGGCAAGACGA
rnacentral:rRNA from 1 species